GACGAACGCUGGCGGCGUGCUUAACACAUGCAAGUCGAGCGGUAAGGCCCUUUCGGGGGUACACGAGCGGCGAACGGGUGAGUAACACGUGGGUGACCUGCCCUCAGCUCUGGGAUAAGCCUGGGAAACCGGGUCUAAUACCGGAUAUGACUCCAUGACGCAUGUUGUGGGGUGAAAGCCUUGUGCGGCUGAGGAUGGGCCCGCGGCCUAUCAGCUUGUUGGUGGGGUGAUGGCCUACCAAGGCGACGACGGGUAGCCGGCCUGAGAGGGCGACCGGCCACACUGGGACUGAGACACGGCCCAGACUCCUACGGGAGGCAGCAGUGGGGAAUAUUGCGCAAUGGGCGAAAGCCUGACGCAGCGACGCCGCGUGGGGAUGAAGGUCUUCGGAUUGUAAA
rnacentral:rRNA from 1 species